rnacentral:rRNA from 1 species
UACGGGGGGUGCGAGCGUUGUUCGGAAUUACUGGGCGUAAAGGGCGCGUAGGCGGCCUUCUAAGUCGAACGUGAAAUCCCCGGGCUCAACCCGGGAACUGCGUCCGAUACUGGAAGGCUUGAAUCCGGGAGAGGGAUGUGGAAUUCCAGGUGUAGCGGUGAAAUGCGUAGAUAUCUGGAGGAACACCGGUGGCGAAGGCGACAUCCUGGACCGGUAUUGACGCUGAGGCGCGAAAGCCAGGGGAGCAAACGGG